rnacentral:rRNA from 1 species
UACGGAGGGUGCAAGCGUUAUCCGGAUUCACUGGGUUUAAAGGGUGCGUAGGCGGGUUAGUAAGUCCGUGGUGAAAUCCCCAAGCUUAACUUGGGAACUGCCGUGGAUACUAUCAAUCUUGAAUAUCGUGGAGGUAAGCGGAAUAUGUCAUGUAGCGGUGAAAUGCUUAGAUAUGACAUAGAACACCAAUUGCGAAGGCAGCUCACUACGCGAAUAUUGACACUGAGGCACGAAAGCGUGGGGAUCAAACAGG